rnacentral:rRNA from 1 species
UACAGAGGUCUCAAGCGUUGUUCGGAUUCAUUGGGCGUAAAGGGCGCGUAGGCGGCGGGGUAAGUCGGGUGUGAAAUCUCAGAGCUCAACUCUGAAACUGCACUCGAUACUGCUCUGCUUGAGGACUGGAGAGGAGACUGGAAUUCACGGUGUAGCAGUGAAAUGCGUAGAUAUCGUGAGGAAGACCAGUGGCGAAGGCGGGUCUCUGGACAGUCCCUGACGCUGAGGCACGAAGGCCAGGGGAGCAAACGGG